rnacentral:rRNA from 1 species
AUUCGAUGCAACGCGAAGAACCUUACCAAGGCUUGACAUGCACGGCGACACUGCAGAGAUGUGGUGGCAUUUAGUUGGUCGUGUGCAGGUGGUGCAUGGUUGUCGUCAGCUCGUGUCGUGAGAUGUUGGGUUAAGUCCCGCAACGAGCGCAACCCUUGCCCUAUGUUGCCAGCACGUGAUGGUGGGGACUCGUGGGGGACUGCCGGGGUUAACUCGGAGGAAGGUGGGGACGACGUCAAAUCAUCAUGCCCCUUAUGACCUGGCUACACACGUGCUACAAUGGCUGGUACAACGAGUCGCGAGUCGGUGACGGCAAGCUAAUCUCUUAAAGCCAGUCUCAGUUCGGAUUGUAGGCUGCAACUCGCCUACAUGAAGUCGGAAUCGCUAGUAAUCGCGGAUCAGCACGCCGCGGUGAAUACGUUCCCGGGCCUAGUACAC